UUGGAACAGAAAGAAACACCGGCUUAAAUCCGUGCCAGCAGCGGCCGGAAAUACGGAGGGUGCGGAGCGUUAUUUGGAAUUUUCGGGGGGUAAAGAGCAUGCAGGGGGUUCAUUAAAUCAGAGGUGAAAGCCCGGGGUUCAACCUCCGAAACUUCAUUUGAAAAUGGUGAAAUAGAGUACUGUAGAGGGGGGUAGAAUUUCAGGGGUAGCGCUGAAAUGCGUAGAGAUAUGAAGGAAUACCAGUGGCGAAAGCGGCCCCCUGGACAGAUAUUGACACUCAGAUGCGAAAGCGUGUGGAGCAAACAGGAUUAGAUACCCCGGUAGUCCACGCCGUAAACGAUGUGUACUUGGAGGUUGUGGCGCUGAGCGGUGGCUUUCGGAGCUAACGCGUUAAGUAGACCGCGCGGGGAGUACGGUCGCACGAUUAAAACUCAAAUGAAUUGACGGGGGCCCGCACAAGCGGUGGAGCACGUGGUUUAAUUCGAUGCAACGCGAAGAACACUACAUACUCUUGACAUCCAGAGAAGCCAGCGGAGACGCACGUGUGCCCUCGGGAGCUCUGAGACAGGUGCUGCACGGCUGUCGUCAGCUCGUGUUGUGAAAUGUUGGGUUAAGUCCCGCAACGAGCGCAACCCCUAUCUCUGUUUGCCACCGAGUAAUGUCGGGAACUCCACGGAGACUGCCGGUGAUAAACCCGAGGAAGGUGGGGACGACGUCAAGUCAUCAUGGCCCCUACGAGUAGGGGUACACACGUGCUACACUGGCGCAUACAGAGGGCGGCGAACUUGCGAGAGUGAGCGAAUCCCACAAAAUGCGUCGUAGUCCCGAUUGGAGUCUGCAACUCGACUCCACGAAGUCGGAAUCCCCUAGUAUUAUUCGAUCAGG
rnacentral:rRNA from 1 species